rnacentral:rRNA from 1 species
GUGACCACAGUGUUUAACGGCCGCGGUAUCCUGACCGUGCGAAGGUAGCGUAAUCACUUGUCUUUUAAAUGAAGACCUGUAUGAAUGGCAUCACGAAGGUUCAACUGUCUCCUUCCCCCAGUCAAUGAAAUUGAUCUGCCCGUGCAGAAGCGGACAUAAAAACAUAAGACGAGAAGACCCUGUGGAGCUUUAGGCCAAGGAUCAAACAUGUAAAACAGACUCAAACCCUAAAAAGAAUAAUAAAAGUCCAAAAACCAAGAGUAAUCUGAUCCUAAUGCCUUCGGUUGGGGCGACCGCGGGGGAAAAUAAAGCCCCCACAUGGAAUGGAACUACUUCCUAAACCAAGAGUUACAACUCUAAGUAACAGAAUUUCUGACCACCUAUGACCCAGGACAAACAUAAACCUGAUCAAUGAACCAAGUUACCCCAGGGAUAACAGCGCAAUCCUUUCCCAGAGUCCAUAUCGACGAAAGGGUUUACGACCUCGAUGUUGGAUCAGGACAUCCUAAUGGUGCAGCCGCUAUUAAGGGUUCGUUUGUUCAACGAUUAAUAGUCCUACGUGAUCU